GACAGAGGUGCCGAGCGUUAGGCGGAAUCACUGGGCUUAAAGCGUGUGUAGGCGGGCGGGCAAGUACCUUGUGAAAUCCCACGGCUCAACCGUGGAACGGCUGGGUAUACUGCCUGUCUUGAGCCAACUAGGGGCGAGCGGAACAGACGGUGGAGCGGUGAAAUGCGUAGAUAUCGCUUGGAACGCCGAAGGUGAAAACAGGCUGCUGGGGUUGUGCCGACGCUGAGACACGAAAGCCAGGGGAGCAAACGGG
rnacentral:rRNA from 1 species